AGUCUACCCCUGGAUUCUGAAGAAAAAGAAUGUCUUUGGGAUGUAUCAUUAUCACCAAGCAGCAAUGUCAGUCCAUAUAGUAGCAUUGAUAUUACUGGUGUUGGCACAGCUAUGAGCAUUCCUAGCAGCUGCACAAGAACAUAUAGGAGUGAUCGAUUGUUGAGUGAAAGCUUGCUUAUUAUGGACGGAAACUGUGAGGGCACUAAACUGAUUAUUCAAGGGGAG
rnacentral:misc_RNA from 1 species